UACGUAGGGGGCAAGCGUUGUCCGGAUUUAUUGGGCGUAAAGAGCGUGUAGGCGGCUAGGUAGGUCCGUUGUGAAAACCCGAGGCUCAACCUCGGGCGUGCAUCCGAUACUGCUCGGCUAGAGGUAGGUAGGGGAGAUCGGAAUUCCUGGUGUAGCGGUGAAAUGCGCAGAUAUCAGGAGGAACACCGGUGGCGAAGGCGGAUCUCUGGGCCUUACCUGACGCUCAGGCGCGAAAGCUAGGGGAGCGAACUGG
rnacentral:rRNA from 1 species